GCGACUUCGCUUCGGUGGUGAACUAUUUAUUUUCUUGUGUGGGUGUCCCAAAUAGUGAAAACGAACGUAAUAUUUAUAAUGGACUGGCGGUAGUUAUCCAUGUGCUCAUUCCAAUGUGAGAAAAGCGGCCGUCGACAUGUUGAAUGUGCAUAAACUUUGGCUGUUGUCAUGUCUCUCUGUUGUUGUUAUUGUAGUUUUAUAUUUUCAAGCAGAAAUAGCGCGUUUGGAGGAGAACUAUCAAAAAUUAGAAUACAGACUCGUCCAACCGCACGUAGAAUCUCGUCAAUUUUUCCCGAGACCGGUGGAAAGAGAUGACGAUGACUUAGUGGUCAUAUACAAUAGGGUCCCGAAGACGGGCUCAACGAGUUUCGUGGGUGUGGCGUAUGAUUUGUGUAAGAAAAAUCACUUCAAAGUGCUACAUAUCAAUAUUACUGCCAACCAACAUGUUAUGUCGCUCAAUAACCAGCUAAAGUUCGCGAGAAACGUUACAAUGUGGCAGGAGAUGAAACCAGCUCUUUAUCACGGUCAUAUGGCAUUCCUGAACUUUGAUAGGCUAGGCACCUCAUCUAAACCACUAUAUAUCAACUUAAUCAGAAAGCCUCUAGACCGGCUGGUGUCAUAUUACUACUUCCUCCGCAACGGAGACAACUUCAGACCACAUCUAGUCAGAAAAAAACAUGGAGACAAAAUGACGUUCGACGAGUGUGUGGAAAGGGGUCAGCCGGACUGCGACCCCAACAACAUGUGGAUGCAGGUUCCCUUCUUCUGCGGACACGCUGCUCAAUGCUGGAAACCCGGCAACCCCUGGGCUUUGCAGCAAGCGAAAAACAACCUAGUCAACCAUUACCUCCUUGUUGGAGUUACUGAGGAUAUGAUGGACUUUAUCACAGUCCUCGAGGCAGCCAUACCACGGCUCUUUAAAGGCGCCACGGAACACUAUUUAAACAGCAACAAGUCACAUUUAAGACAAACAAGUGCUAAAAUAGAACCCAAUUUCAAAACCAUAGAACGUAUUCAACAGUCUCCUGUAUGGAGAAUGGAAAAUGAACUCUACGAGUUUGCGUUAGAACAUUUUAAGUUUGUCAAGAAAAAAGUUUUACUACGUGAAAGUAAUAGCGUUGCUCAAAUAUAUUUCUACGAGAAAAUACGGCCUAAAUGAUUUUUUUUCGCUCUAAGAAAAUGUACAGUUGAUAUUCAACUAUUUAUUAGGUGGGGAUGUAUUGAAGUAGCAUUUCGGAAUUGCCAGCCGGGCGCCCUCAGGCCUGUUGUCCUAUGAUUUGUACCAUGUGAGAGCUCUCAGCGCUCCUGUCUUGUCCCGCCUUGUGGGCAAGUAGUGAAUGCCAUGCGAGGAUUUACAAUAAGCUGUCGCUGUCG